rnacentral:rRNA from 1 species
AACGAACGCUGGCGGCAUGCCUAACACAUGCAAGUCGAACGAGACCCUCGGGUCUAGUGGCGCACGGGUGCGUAACGCGUGGGAAUCUGCCCUUGGGUUCGGAAUAACAGUUAGAAAUGACUGCUAAUACCGGAUAAUGUCUUCGGACCAAAGAUUUAUCGCCCAGGGAUGAGCCCGCGUAGGAUUAGCUAGUUGGUGGGGUAAAGGCCUACCAAGGCGACGAUCCUUAGCUGGUCUGAGAGGAUGAUCAGCCACACUGGGACUGAGACACGGCCCAGACUCCUACGGGAGGCAGCAGUGGGGAAUAUUGGACAAUGGGGGCAACCCUGAUCCAGCCAUGCCGCGUGUGUGAAGAAGGCCUCGGUUGUAAGUA